rnacentral:lncRNA from 1 species
AGACACAACAAAGCCGUGACCAGAGUGUUCAGGACUGUCUUUCUGAUAUGGGGCUGAGCCCUGGCCCCCUCAAGAAGGCUCCUUAACCUGACUUGGCCUCACCUGGCAUCCAGGGCUGUGAGAGGCGAUGCACAAGUGAGGGAGCCCAGCGUCCGGCCAGAACCUGUGAGUGCGUCCCUGCCCCCUGCCAUAUUUGGAGACUGGCUGAGAGGCUUGAUAAGGGGAGAGGAGCGGUUUCCUG